rnacentral:rRNA from 1 species
UACGAAGGGGGCUAGCGUUGUUCGGAAUCACUGGGCGUAAAGCGCACGUAGGCGGAUCUUUAAGUCAGGGGUGAAAUCCCGAGGCUCAACCUCGGAACUGCCUUUGAUACUGGGGAUCUCGAGACCGGGAGAGGUGAGUGGAACUGCGAGUGUAGAGGUGAAAUUCGUAGAUAUUCGCAAGAACACCAGUGGCGAAGGCGGCUCACUGGCCCGAUACUGACGCUGAGGCACGAAAGCGUGGGGAGCAAACAGGG